rnacentral:rRNA from 1 species
AGCCAUUAGACGAUAUUUAUGGUUUAACCUGCCCAAUGUUAGAGAUAAUGAAUGGCCGCGGUACCCUGACCGUGCUAAGGUAGCGUAAUCAGUUGGCUUUUAAAUGGAGUCAGGAAUGAAUGGGAAAACCGGGUUUAGCUGUCUCCAAACUAUUUUUUUGAAUUUACUGUUUAAGUGAAAAAGCUUAAAAAUGAUAAAGGGACGAGAAGACCCUUAGAAUUUUUUUUAAAAUGAAAACUUUUCAUAAUAAUUUUGUUGGGGCGACAGAGAAAUAUUUAAAACCUUCUUUGAAUUUACAUGCCGAUAUUGUUAAGUAAGAAUAAAUUACCUAAGGGAUAACAGCAUUAUUCUACAGUUGAGUUUGUGACCUCGAUGUUGGACUAGGAAACUAACAGGCUAGCCGUUUGUUGUGUGGGUUCUGUUCGAACUUUAAUUCCU